GGAGUCAACUGGCUUGUUACUUUGGCUGGAAGAUGAAAUCAACAGCCUCUGAAGCCUUAUCAGUCUUGCAGAAAGCUACAAUUCCCACGGGGAUUUACUGGUCAUUGAACACAUCUGAGACCAUCUGAGAACGUCACGAUGUCUAGCAAAGCUGGUGGUGUUCCUACACAGAAGGACAAUGACAACCACGCCAAUCAAUGUAACCCUAACAACCCGGAAUACAAAGGCUAUGACAGGCAUUUCAAAGGGAACGCGACGGAUGCUGAUAACCAUGCCGAACAGCUAAAUCCAAACAACGAGAAGUACGUUCCACCAAAGAAAUGAAAAGUCCGCCAGUGUAUACAGUGUCAUAACACUGUAUAUGACAGGGACUGAUUCAAAUAUCACUUAUAUCUUCUGAAAAUAAACCUUAACUAGAGAUGAA